GACGAACGCUGGCGGCGUGCCUAAUACAUGCAAGUUGAGCGCUGAAGGUUGGUACUUGUACCAACUGGAUGAGCAGCGAACGGGUGAGUAACGCGUGGGGAAUCUGCCUUUGAUCGGGGGACAACAUUUGGAAACGACUGCUAAUACCGCAUAAAAACUUUAAACACAAGUUUCAAGUUUGAAAGAUGCAAUUGCCUCACUCAAAGAUGAUCCCGCGUUGGAUUAGCUAGUUGGUGGGGUAAAGGCGCACCAAGGCGAUGGUACAUAGCCGACCGGGGAGGGGGGUCGGGCGCAUUGGGACGGGGGAACGGCCCAAGCUCCUACGGGGGGGAGCAGGAGGGGAUCGUCGGCAAGGGGCGAAAGUCUGGCCGAGGAACGCCGGGGGAGUGAAGAAGGGUGUCGGGUCGGAAAAGGCUGUUGGUAGGGAAGGAAGUGGGGGAGAGUGGAAAGCUCAUGAAGUGACGGUAACUACACAGAAAGGGACGGCUAACUACGUG
rnacentral:rRNA from 1 species